rnacentral:rRNA from 1 species
AACGCGAAGAACCUUACCUAGACUUGACAUCUCCUGCAUUACUCUUAAUCGAGGAAGUCCCUUCGGGGACAGGAUGACAGGUGGUGCAUGGUUGUCGUCAGCUCGUGUCGUGAGAUGUUGGGUUAAGUCCCGCAACGAGUGCAACCCUUAUUGUUAGUUGCUACCAUUUAGUUGAGCACUCUAGCGAGACUGCCCGGGUUAACCGGGAGGAAGGUGGGGAUGACGUCAAAUCAUCAUGCCCCUUAUGUCUAGGGCUACACACGUGCUACAAUGGCAAGUACAAAGAGACGCAAUACCGCGAGGUGGAGCUAAACUAUAAAACUUGUCUCAGUUCGGAUUGUAGGCUGAAACUCGCCUACAUGAAGCUGGAGUUGCUAGUAAUCGCGAAUCAGAAUGUCGCGGUGAAUACGUUCCCGGGCCUUGUACACACCGAUAGC